CAUGCAAGUCGAACGAGGAUAUACCUUUCGGGGUAUAAACCGAGUGGCGCAAGGGUGAGUAAUGCAUAGAUUACCUGCCUCUAGGUUAAGGACAACUUUGUGAAAACGAAGCUAAUACUUAAUAAUACAAGAGAGAAUAAUUCUUUUUUGUCAAUGGGAGGGUAGCAAUACCUUUUGCCUAGAGAGGGGUUUAUGUCCUAUCAGCUUGUUGGUGGGGUAAUGGCCUACCAAGGCGAAGACGGGUAGCCGGUCUUAGAGGAUGGUCGGCCACACUGGGACUGAGACACUGCCCAGACUUCUACGGAAGGCUGCAGUCGAGAAUCUUUCGCAAUGCCCGAAAGGGUGACGAAGCGACGCCGCGUGAGUGAGGAAGGCCUUCGGGUUGUAAAGCUCUGUCAGGUGUUAAGAAAUAUAAGUGUGCUAAUACCACAUUUAUUUGACAAAGGCGCCAAAGGAAGCCACGGCUAACUCUGUGCCAGCAGCCGCGGUAAUACAGAGGUGGCAAGCGUUGUUCGGAAUUAUUGGGCGUAAAGAGCACGUAGGUGGGCUCGUAAGUUAGAUGUGAAAGCCUUCUGUUCAACGGAAGAAUUGCAUCUGAAACUGCGAGUCUUGAGUGUAGGAGGGGAGAAUGGAACUUCUGGUGGAGCGGUGAAAUGCGUAGAUAUCAGAAGGAACGCCGGCGGCGAAAGCGAUUCUCUGGCCUAUUACUGACACUCAGUGUGCGAAAGCUAGGGGAGCAAACGGGAUUAGAUACCCCGGUAGUCCUAGCUGUAAACGAUGGGCACUAAGUAGAGGGAAUUACCGAUGUUCUCUCUGCCGUAGCUAACGCAUUAAGUGCCCCGCCUGGGGAGUACGGCCGCAAGGCUAAAACUCAAAAGAAUUGACGGGGGCUCGCACAAGCGGUGGAGCAUGUGGCUUAAUUCGAUGCAACGCGAAAAACCUUACCGGGGCUUGACAUGGUAGAAGUAGGAACCCGAAAGGGUAACGAACGGUAUCCAGUCCGUAGCUAUCACAGGUGUUGCAUGGCUGUCGUCAGCUCGUGUCGUGAGACGUUGGGUUAAGUCCCCUAACGAGCGAAACCCUUGUUUUUAGUUACCAGCGGGUUAUGCCGGGUACUCUAGAAAGACUGCCGUCGUCAAGACGGAGGAAGGUGGGGAUGACGUCAAGUCAUCAUGGCCCUUAUGCCCCGGGCUGCACACGUGCUACAAUGGUCGGUACAAACGGAAGCGAAGCCGAGAGGUGGAGCGAAUCCUAAAAAGCCGAUCUCAGUUCGGAUUGGAGGCUGAAAUUCGCCUCCAUGAAGUUGGAAUCGCUAGUAAUCGCGGAUCAGCAUUGCCGCGGUGAAUAUGUUCCCGAGCCUUGUACACACCGCCCGUCAAGCCACCCAAGCAGGAUGCACCCGAAAACAUUAUAUCUAACCAGGUUUACCUGGAGGAAAGUGUUGAAGGAGUGUUUUGUGAGGAGGACUAAGUCGUAACAAGGUAGUCGUAGGAGAACCUGCGGCUGGAUCACCUCCUUUCU
rnacentral:rRNA from 1 species